UACAGAGGGUGCAAGCGUUGUUUCGGAAUUAUUGGGCGUAAAGGGCGCGUAGGCGGUUCGGCAAGUCUCUAGUGAAAUCUCUGGGCUCAACUCAGAGUCUGCUGGGGAAACUGCCGGGCUUGAGUGUGGGAGAGGAGAGUGGAAUUUCCGGUGUAGCGGUGAAAUGCGUAGAUAUCGGAAGGAACACCUGUGGCGAAGGCGUUCCGCUGGGCCGUUGCUGACGCUGGAGGCGCG
rnacentral:rRNA from 1 species